rnacentral:rRNA from 1 species
UACGGAGGGGGCUAGCGUUAUUCGGAAUUACUGGGCGUAAAGCGCACGUAGGCGGACUGAAAAGUCAGAGGUGAAAUCCCAGGGCUCAACCUUGGAACUGCCUUUGAAACUCUCAGUCUUGAGGUCGAGAGAGGUGAGUGGAAUUCCGAGUGUAGGGGUGAAAUUCGUAGAUAUUCGGAGGAACACCAGUGGCGAAGGCGGCUCACUGGCUCGAUACUGACGCUAAGGUGCGAAAGCGUAAAAAGCAAACAAG